UACUUAGUGGCAGACGGGUGAGUAACAUGUAGGUAUCUGCCCUUUGGCCUGGAAUAACACGAGGAAACUUGUGCUAAUACCGGAUAAGUCUUUACGGAGAAAGCUUUAUGCACCAUUGGAGGAGCCUGCACUAGAUUAGUUUGUUGGUGGGGUAAUGGCCUACCAAGACUGUGAUCUAUAGCUGAUUUGAGAGGAUGAUCAGCCACAUUGGGACUGAGACACGGCCCAAACUCCUACGGGAGGCAGCAGUGGGGAAUCUUGCACAAUGGAGGAAACUCUGAUGCAGCGAUGCCGCGUGAGUGAAGAAGGCCUUUGGGUUGUAAAGCUCUUUCGUCGGGGAAGAAAAUGACUGUACCCGAAUAAGAAGGUCCGGCUAACUUCGUGCCAGCAGCCGCGGUAAUACGAAGGGACCUAGCGUAGUUCGGAUUUACUGGGCUUAAAGAGUUCGUAGGUGGUUGAAAAAGUUGGUGGUGAAAUCCCAGAGCUUAACUCUGGAACUGCCAUCAAAACUUUUCAGCUAGAGUAUGAUAGAGGAAAGCAGAAUUUCUAGUGUAGAGGUGAAAUUCGUAGAUAUUAGAAAGAAUACCAAUUGCGAAGGCAGCUUUCUGGAUCAUUACUGACACUGAGGAACGAAAGUAUGGGUAGCGAAGAGGAUUAGAUACCCUCGUAGUCCAUACCGUAAACGAUGUGUGUUAGACGUUGGAAA
rnacentral:rRNA from 1 species